UGGCUCAGAUUGAACGCUGGCGGCAUGCCUUACACAUGCAAGUCGAACGGUAACAGGUCUUCGGAUGCUGACGAGUGGCGAACGGGUGAGUAAUACAUCGGAACGUGCCCGAUCGUGGGGGAUAACGGAGCGAAAGCUUUGCUAAUACCGCAUACGAUCUACGGAUGAAAGCAGGGGACCGCAAGGCCUUGCGCGGACGGAGCGGCCGAUGGCAGAUUAGGUAGUUGGUGGGAUAAAAGCUUACCAAGCCGACGAUCUGUAGCUGGUCUGAGAGGACGACCAGCCACACUGGGACUGAGACACGGCCCAGACUCCUACGGGAGGCAGCAGUGGGGAAUUUUGGACAAUGGGCGAAAGCCUGAUCCAGCCAUGCCGCGUGCAGGAUGAAGGCCUUCGGGUUGUAAACUGCUUUUGUACGGAACGAAAAGACUCCUUCUAAU
rnacentral:rRNA from 1 species